ensembl:lncRNA novel transcript, antisense to APBA2
CCUUCACUGUCUACUUUCCACCUGCAUAGACAUUCUGCUUACCUGGCUAACACAAAGUUCAUCCAGCCUCCUGUGGCCCAGCCUUUCACCAAUGCCAAUAGUGGGAAGCAACAAUUAAGAAGAAGUGAUUCUGAGAAGAUAAAUGCAGUCAUCUUCUUGCCUUACUGUUAUGUGGUCACAUCCCAUAGGAAACCAGACACCUGUGCCUGAAGCUGAUCCACACAACACCCCCCACCUCCUCAAACCCCCACCCCCAUCUGUGUGAACGUGUGUGGGCCGGGGGAAAAAGAAGAACAAGGAAGGUCUGUGACUAUAUGUUUGGACCACAUGGCUGUGAUCCCUACCACCACUUAGUGACAGCAUACAUGAAUUGCAUGCUUAAUGCCGAUACCAUUCAGCCUAGAGGGGCUCCUGGACCAGGCCAGAUUUCCUACAAGGUGUUACCAAGUGGAGUUGGAAACUUGUCACCUCCUCACACCCUAACUUAUUUUUUAAAAAUA